rnacentral:rRNA from 1 species
AGGUGAUGGACAACAGGUUGAUAUUCCUGUACUACCGAUAACCGUUUGAGAGAUGGGAUGACACAGUAGGAUAAGCUAAGCACACUGUUGGUUAUGUGUGCCCAAGCAUGGAGGCAGUCAAAGUAGGCAAAUCCGCUUUGAUAAUGCUGGGAUGUGAUGGGGAGCGAAAUUUAGUAGCGAAGUAGCUGAUUUCACACUGUCAAGAAAAGUCUCUAUCGAGGUUAAAGGUACCCGUAC